rnacentral:rRNA from 1 species
GACGAACGCUGGCGGCGUGCUUAACACAUGCAAGUCGAACGGGAGUAUCGAGGAAGCUUGCUUUUAAGAUACUUUAGUGGCGGACGGGUGAGUAACGCGUGAGGAGCUGUCCUAUGCAGGGGGACAACAGUUGGAAACGACUGCUAAUACCCCAUAAGCCGAGAGGUAAAAGGAUUUAUCCGGCAAAGGAGGUACUCGCGUCCUAUCAGCUAGUAGGUGAGGUAACGGCUCACCUAGGCGAAGACGGGUAGCCGGCCUGAGAGGGCGAACGGCCACACUGGAACUGAGAUACGGUCCAGACUCCUACGGGAGGCAGCAGUGGGGAAUAUUGGGCAAUGGGGGAAACCCUGACCCAGCGACGCCGCGUGGGUGAAGAAAUCCUUCGGGAUGUAAAGCCCUGUUGUAUGGGAAGAGCAGAAGACGGUACCAUACGAGGAAGCCCCGGCAAACUACGUGCCAGCAGCCGCUGUAACAC